rnacentral:rRNA from 1 species
AGAGUUUGAUCAUGGCUCAGAUUGAACGCUGGCGGCAGGCCUAACACAUGCAAGUCGAACGGUAACAGGAAGCAGCUUGCUGCUUUGCUGACGAGUGGCGGACGGGUGAGUAAUGUCUGGGAAACCGCCUGAUGGAGGGGGAUAACUACUGGAAACGGUAGCUAAUACCGCAUAACGUCGCAAGACCAAAGAGGGGGACCUUCGGGCCUCUUGCCAUCGGAUGUGCCCAGAUGGGAUUAGCUAGUAGGUGGGGUAACGGCUCACCUAGGCGACGAUCCCUAGCUGGUCUGAGAGGAUGACCAGCCACACUGGAACUGAGACACGGUCUAGACUCCUACGGGAGGCAGCAGUGGGGAAUAUUGCACAAUGGGCGCAAGCCUGAUGCAGCCAUGCCGCGUGUAUGAAGAAGGCCUUCGGGUUGUAAAGUACUUUCAGCGGGGAGGAAGGCGACAGGGUUAAUAACCCUGUCGAUUGACGUUACCCGCAGAAGAAGCACCGGCUAACUCCGUGCCAGCAGCCGCGGUAAUACGGAGGGUGCAAGCGUUAAUCGGAAUUACUGGGCGUAAAGCGCACGCAGGCGGUCUGUCAAGUCGGAUGUGAAAUCCCCGGGCUCAACCUGGGAACUGCAUUCGAAACUGGCAGGCUAGAGUCUUGUAGAGGGGGGUAGAAUUCCAGGUGUAGCGGUGAAAUGCGUAGAGAUCUGGAGGAAUACCGGUGGCGAAGGCGGCCCCCUGGACAAAGACUGACGCUCAGGUGCGAAAGCGUGGGGAGCAAACAGGAUUAGAUACCCCGGUAGUCC